rnacentral:rRNA from 1 species
GAUGAACGCUGGCGGCGUGCCUAAUACAUGCAAGUCGAGCGAACGAACGAGAAGCUUGCUUCUCUGAUGUUAGCGGCGGACGGGUGAGUAACACGUGGAUAACCUACCUAUAAGUCUGGGAUAACUUCGGGAAACCGGAGCUAAUACCGGAUAAUAUUUUGAACCGCAUGGUUCAAAAGUGAAAGCCGGUCUUGCUGUCACUUAUAGAUGGAUCCGCGCUGCAUUAGCUAGUUGGUAAGGUAACGGCUUACCAAGGCAACGAUGCAUAGCCGACCUGAGAGGGUGAUCAGCCACACUGGAACUGAGACACGGUCCAGACUCCUACGGGAGGCAGCAGUAGGGAAUCUUCCGCAAUGGGCGAAAGCCUGACGGAGCAACGCCGCGUGAGUGAUGAAGGUCUUCGGAUCGUAAAACUCUGUUAUUAGGGAAGAACAUAUGUGUAAGUAACUGUGCACAUCUUGACGGUACCUAAUCAGAAAGCCACGGCUAACUACGUG